AGGAACAGUGUCAAACGCUUUUGACAAAUCAAUAAAUACACCUAUGUCUUUUUUCUUGCUAUCUAAAUGCUUAGUUAUUGUUUCAGUUAAGGAAAGAGUAGCGUCUUCUGUUGAUUUAGUGUUCAUAAAACCGCAUUGAUUAGGUGCGAUAAUAUUAUUUCGAGUUAAGAAACUCUUUAAGUGUCGAUUUAAGAUUUUUUCUAAAAUUUUGGACGUUACUGUAAGUACUGGUAUAGGUCUGUAGUUUCCGAUAACAUGAGGAUUUCCAGAUUUAAAGAUCGGGUGAACUAAUGCUUUUUUUAGAA